rnacentral:lncRNA from 1 species
UCAGGCGGAUUCGGACCCUCAUUCUCUAACACAGGCAAUAUGUCCAUCCAACCUUUGGACUAAAAGCAACGAUAUUUGCUAUGCAGCUUUUCAUAGAUAAUGUGGUAUGAAGUAAUACUGCAUUCAUGAUAUCUUUCACCUGCCUCUAAAGCUUAUGCAAUAAACACUCUUAUUUGUAGGUGUGGAAGAAGGUGAACUAUCUCGAUCGACUUCUGCAGCUAUUCAGAUAUGUACCUCGCUAGCAAUUGAGCAUUACAGAUUUUGUGUUUCCAUCUGUUCACCGAGUUGUUUGUGAGGCGCUGCAAUGAUGUCUUGCAAACGAAUAUUAUGUGAUGCAUGCAUGAUCUUGAAGUAAAUGGAGAGAAAGGCGUGAUUGUUGAUCCAAGAACAAAACCAAUCUCAAACUGAUUUCGAUUUCACUGAUCACUUCAAUUUACUUUCUUCAGUAUGAGUCUAGAUACUGACUUCAGUAUUGUUUCUAAAGAAGUAAUAAUUUACCACUUGAUGCUUCACAUGUCACUUACAACAUCUGAAAUGCAUACUAUGAAUAACAUGUCCAAUGAAGCAGCUACAAGUUUGAUGACAUGAAAGAAAACAGUGUUUAUAAAUUUAAGAUACCUCAAACAACACAUUGAAAUAGUGACAAGAAAACAGAAUAGAUCCCUCAAACAACACAUUGAAAUAGUGACAAGAAAUAUAAAAAUAUUCUUGUGCAUUAUAGAGGUACAAAUGGUAAAUGAUAGUAGAUGUUAUUAUAAGUUUGACAUUGUAAUUCAAGGAUGGUUGGUGGAGUAACCUGUUCAAAGCUUAUUCCCCUUAUGUCGAAAUCUAAUGCAAAUUAUACAAACUCAAGACUAAAGUCUUCAAGUUCAAGCAAUAAAGCUAUAAAUGUAUGGCACCUCCAAAUCGUCAUGCAACUGAAGAUGUUAUGGGAAGAGUAUAAUAGCAUUUAAUUAGAAUUCUAUUGUAUGGAUCAAAACAACAAAUUAAAUGCACCUAAAACAAACAUAUAUAAGUUUGCAAUCAUAACAAUAUAUUCAGAAUGUCCGGCCAGUAAGACCUAAACUAUAAGUUCGAUAAUAAUCUUUUAACAACUUAACAAAAUAGAACCCUCUUUCAUUUAAAGCUAAAGGAACUAUCAUCCAGUUUUCUUUUACCCAUGGUAUGCUGCAAACUGGUCUACAAAAUUGAGAAGUCGAAAGGUUAAUUUGUAUAUCUAGGAGAAUCCAUGUAAAUAGGACUAAACUCAUAACUCAUUCUCUAUUUCACCAUCUCUAAUAAGUAAUUAGUAGAUGUAGAUGUUUUACACAUUCAUACAUCAAAAGGGCUUUCUGAUCACCACAUGCCAGUUUCCUCAAAGACUUGAUAGAAAAGAUAAUUAACAUUGAAUGCAUCUGAACAUGUCAUAAGCUUGCCUAAAGCCACAAACAGAAAUGAAAGGUGCUGCUAUCAAAUAUCAAUUAGUCAAAACACUCAAAACAACAAAGAAGAAAGUUAACCAUUACUAGAAAAAAUAGANUAAGGAAUUCUCUAGAUACUAUAUAGAAAAUAUCUAUUCUCUAGAAUACCAUACUUGUCCUAGUAUUAUUUAGAAUACUCUAGAUUGAUCUAGCUAGUGGUGAAUUCUCUAGAAUAUACAUAGCUUAUUCUCACUUAGAAUAUUCUAGAUAAAUGCAUCACACUUCAAUAAUAUAUAUGGGCAAAGUAAGAAAACUGUUGUGUAGAAUUGCUUCAUGAAAAUUAGAUCGUUCCACCAACUACACAAAUGAGGUCGCGCUGCAUAAAGCAAAAGAUGAUGAGGAGCACUCACAUCUGUAAUGAUGCAGCUGAGUGGAAAUAAACAAUAGUGUAAGGCUUCUGUAUCACGAUUCACGAACCGAAAGAAAGGUAGAAAAUAAAAAUUCUAAACUAUGGAGCGAGCUAUGAGACGUUACAUAACAUCAGUGGUGGAUUCACUAAAGUCACAAAGUAUAUAAGAAAUGUUCACCUUUACUACGUACAAGACAAAUCGUUCUAGAUCAAGACACCUUAACAGAAAUGUGCUCCGACAACCACCAUAACUCGGUAACUGAAUGGAUACAAGAUAUAUAAUUAUCAAGCUUGCUUUCUUACUUUGCCAAUAUAUGUAAACUGAGCUAUAAAGAAACUAACAACUGCUAUAAAGUAAGUUUUCUUACUUUACGUAUAAAUUUGAGUGAACAGGCAACCGGACCUAGGAUGGAUUAAGAGAUUAGAGCAAAUACUUGGUCGGAAGCACCAACAUAAUCUUCAUGUAUGAGCAAUCUUCCUCUUAACAUUCUGCCGUAGUUGGACAAGCUGUUAGCUACUGAUCCUCUGCUACUAUAACACAGGCAAUAUGUCCUUCAUCCAACCUUUGGACUAAAAGCAGCGAUAUUUGCUAUGCAGCUUUUCAUAGAUAAUGUGGUAUGAAGUAAUACUGCAUUCCUGAUAUCUUUCACCUGCCUCUAAAGCUUAUGCAAUAAACACUCUUAUUUGUAGGUGUGGAAGAAGGUGAACUAUCUCGAUCGACUUCUGCAGCUAUUCAGAUAUGUACGUCGCUAGCAAUUGAGCAUUACAGANNNNNNNNNNNNNNNNNNNNNNNNNNNNNNNNNNNNNNNNNNNNNNNNNNNNNNNNNNNNNNNNNNNNNNNNNNNNNNNNNNNNNNNNNNNNNNNAAGAACAAAACCAAUCUCAAACUGAUCUCGUUUUCACUGAUCACUUCAAUUUACUUUCUUCAGUAUGAGUCUAGAUACUGACUUCAGUAUUGUUUCUAAAGAAGUAACAAUUUACCACUUGAUGCUUCACAUGUCACCUACCGCAUCUGAAAUGCAUACUAUGAAUAACAUGUCCAAUGAAGCAGCUACAAGUUUGAUGACAUGAAAGAAAACAGUGUUUAUAAAUUUAAGAUCCCUCAAACAACACAUUGAAAUAGUGACAAGAAAACAGAAUAGAUCCCUCAAACAACAACAUUAGAAAUAGUAGUACAAGAAAUAUAAAAAUAAUUCUUGUGCAUUAUAGAGGUACAAAUGGUAAAUGAUAGUAGAUGUUAUUAUAAGUUUGACAUUGUAAUUCAAGGAUGGUUGGUGGAGUAACCUGUUCAAAGCUUAUUCCCCUUAUGUCGAAAUCUAAUGCAAAUUAUACAAACUCAAGACUAAAGUCUUCAAGUUCAAGAAAUAAAGCUAUAAAUGUAUGGCAC